GCCUAAAACCCCAAACAGCAAGCAAUGCAGGUGUAGAAGCACAGGGGCUAGGAAAAAACUCCCUAGAACAUGUGUUUAUAUUUUUGUUCAGUGGUGGAACUGGCUAUAUGUCCUUCAGUAGGUACUACUUAUGGGAUGAAGAUGCAACAUUCUGGCAAUGUAUGUAUGAUAUUUGUGAGACAGAUCAUGCUUUCCAUCAGAUCCUGCAACCUCCACUGGAAACAGGGGGGGAAAAACAUCACCAAAUUCACUGAGAAGAGGUCUGCAUACCCUCAACUCAGAUGUUUGUCCGCUGCUUUCGCCGUACCUGGAAGAGAGCCAGCUCUUCUCAAGACCACCUCCAGGUAUCGGCGACAAGCGGACCGCCACCAGACCACGGCUCCCUGGUAUUGUCUCGGGCAGAGGGUAUGGCUGUCCACCCGAGGUCUUCCCCACCGGGUGGAGUCCCUCAAACUUUCCCCCCGUUUUAUCGGCCCUUUACCCAUCUCCAAGAUCAUUAGCCCCUCUGCUGUUCGUCUUUUGUUGCCCCGUACCCUCUAUAUAUACAGUUGAAGUCGGAAGUUUACAUACACUUCGGUUGGAGUCAUUAAAACAAAUUUUUCAACCACUCCACAAAUUUCUUGUUAACAAACUAUAGUUUUGGCAAGUCGGUUAGGACAUCUACUUUCUGCAUGACACAAGUAAUUUUCCAACAAUUGUUUACAGACAGAUUAUUUCACUUAUAAUUCACUGUGUCACAAUUCCAGUGAGUCAGAAGUUUACAUACACAAAAGUUGACUGUGCCGUUAAACAGCUUGGAAAAUUCCAGAAAAUUAUGUAAUGGCUUUAGACGCUUCUGAUAGGCUAAUUGACAUCAUUUGAAUCAAUUGGAGGAGUACCUGUGGG
ensembl:lncRNA